GAACGGGUGAGUAACACGUGGGCAAUCUGCCCUUCACUUCGGGACAAGCCCUGGAAACGGGGUCUAAUACCGGAUAAUACUUUCUCUCUCAUGGGGGGAAGUUGAAAGCUCCGGCGGUGAAGGAUGAGCCCGCGGCCUAUCAGCUAGUUGGUGGGGUAAUGGCCUACCAAGGCGACGACGGGUAGCCGGCCUGAGAGGGCGACCGGCCACACUGGGACUGAGACACGGCCCAGACUCCUACGGGAGGCAGCAGUGGGGAAUAUUGCACAAUGGGCGAAAGCCUGAUGCAGCGACGCCGCGUGAGGGAUGACGGCCUUCGGGUUGUAAACCUCUUUCAGCAGGGAAGAAGCGCAAGUGACGGUACCUGCAGAAGAAGCACCGGCUAACUACGUGCCAGCAGCCGCGGUAAUACGUAGGGUGCGAGCGUUGUCCGGAAUUAUUGGGCGUAAAGAGCUCGUAGGCGGCUUGUCACGUCGGUUGUGAAAGCCCGGGGCUUAACCCCGGGUCUGCAGUCGAUACGGGCAGGCUAGAGUGUGGUAGGGGAGAUCGGAAUUCCUGGUGUAGCGGUGAAAUGCGCAGAUAUCAGGAGGAACACCGGUGGCGAAGGCGGAUCUCUGGGCCAUUACUGACGCUGAGGAGCGAAAGCGUGGGGAGCGAACAGGAUUAGAUACCCUGGUAGUCCACGCCGUAAACGUUGGGAACUAGGUGUUGGCGACAUUCCACGUCGUCGGUGCCGCAGCUAACGCAUUAAGUUCCCCGCCUGGGGAGUACGGCCGCAAGGCUAAAACUCAAAGGAAUUGACGGGGGCCC
rnacentral:rRNA from 1 species